GAAGCCGAGUCAAGUUUGUAUUUGCCUGGCUCGAUGGAUGAAGAACUAUUUGCGGAUCUCCCCACGGCAUCGUGUGCUGCAGCAGGCAUUGGAGACUGUAGGCAUGUCUAUGCUCUGAACAACGACACGCUAUGACGAGGAGAACGAGAUGCUCACUGCUAUUCGCAUCCAUGUUCCUCUGCAUCCGAAUUCCCCGCCUCACAACAAAUCUCUUCUACAGUGACUGGUCUGCAUACCCGAAUGUAUGCACGAAUCAGUAUUAUUACAGAAAAUGAAUUGAAUAGUAUCUCCAUUUCAUCUCAAAAAAAUGUAGAAUAAUACUAAAGAAAGAAAUUUCCCAUCCAUGUAGAUGAAGUACCCCAAUCAGUUUAUAAUGUUUAAGACCAAUUAUUGAACAUUUGUUCUUCAACAUUUGCUUUUGCUUU